GAUGAACGCUAGCUACAGGCUUAACACAUGCAAGUCGAGGGGCAUCAGGAAGAAAGCUUGCUUUCUUUGCUGGCGACCGGCGCACGGGUGAGUAACACGUAUCCAACCUGCCCUUUACUCGGGGAUAGCCUUUCGAAAGAAAGAUUAAUACCCGAUGGCAUAAUGAUUCCGCAUGGUUUCAUUAUUAAAGGAUUCCGGUAAAGGAUGGGGAUGCGUUCCAUUAGGUUGUUGGUGAGGUAACGGCUCACCAAGCCUUCGAUGGAUAGGGGUUCCGAGAGGAAGGUCCCCCACAUUGGAACUGAGACACGGUCCGAACUCCUACGGGAGGCAGCAGUGAGGAAUAUUGGUCAAUGGGCGCUAGCCUGAACCAGCCAAGUAGCGUGAAGGAUGAAGGCUCUAUGGGUCGUAAACUUCUUUUAUAUAAGAAUAAAGUGCAGUAUGUAUACUGUUUUGUAUGUAUUAUAUGAAUAAGGAUCGGCUAACUCCGUGCCAGCAGCCGCGGUAAUACGGAGGAUCCGAGCGUUAUCCGGAUUUAUUGGGUUUAAAGGGAGCGUAGGUGGACUGGUAAGUCAGUUGUGAAAGUUUGCGGCUCAACCGUAAAAUUGCAGUUGAUACUGUCAGUCUUGAGUACAGUAGAGGUGGGCGGAAUUCGUGGUGUAGCGGUGAAAUGCUUAGAUAUCACGAAGAACUCCGAUUGGGAAGGCAGCUCACUGGACUGCAACUGACACUGAUCCUCAAAGGUGUGGGUAUCAAACCAGG
rnacentral:rRNA from 1 species